GGGUCUAUGGCUCAGCCUGGUAGAGCAGCCGGCUCUUAACCGGCAGGUCCUGGGUUCGAAGUCCCAGUGGACCCA
rnacentral:tRNA from 1 species